UACGUAGGGGGCAAGCGUUGUCCGGAAUCAUUGGGCGUAAAGAGCGUGUAGGCGGCUCGGUAAGUCUGCUGUGAAAGUCCAGGGCUCAACCCUGGAAUGCCGGUGGAAACUGUCGAGCUAGAGUCCGGAAGAGGCGAGUGGAAUUCCUGGUGUAGCGGUGAAAUGCGCAGAUAUCAGGAGGAACACCGAUGGCGAAGGCAGCUCGCUGGGCCUGCACUGACGCUCAUGCACGAAAGCGUGGGGAGCAAACAGG
rnacentral:rRNA from 1 species